rnacentral:lncRNA from 1 species
GGCUCCAACAUCCCAGGGAAUUGUGUCACUCCCAUUGAGCAGCUGUGGGGCCCUCUCCCACAUGGCCCAGGUCCACCACUCUGUCAAAGGUCGCACAGCCCAGACAAAAACAGGACACAGCAGUGUGUGAAUGAGCCGGGCUUUCUCCUUCCCUCCACGUAAUAGAAGGUGCCUGAGGUUGUUGAAACACAGUCCAUUUCUCCUGGGAAUGACAAGAAUUUGAGGGAUGCUGACUUUCAAGGAAUACUGCAUGACAGGCAUCAAGAUAAACCUGAUGAAGAAAACAUAGGCCAGAAUCUGGGAAUCGGGAGCAAAGUAAUACAGCUUCGGGGACAGGCACGUAAUGAGGUCAUGAUGUAGGAGACUCCCUGCAGGACUGGCGGCCCCUGUUCCCUGGGUUGUUCUGGCUCUUUCAGGACCUGACCCUGGAACAGGACUGAGCAGGUGCCUGUGUGCACAGAAGACCUUGUGUGAGUCCUUUGGUACCACGUUUGCUGCACGAAUGUCUGAGACACCUCACAGUCGCUUGGUUCAGCCUCUCCCUCCUCUCUCCGCUGGGGAACAUCAUCCCUCAUCACUGGAAGAAAUUACAAGGAUUGUGUAAACAAUUACAAGUAUUCUACAAACAGUGAGGUAAAAUAAUUAUUUAGUUCCAAUCAUCUUUGUACACAAAGAUUUAUAUGUUAACAAGCUGAAUUCCUGCUUCAUCUGGAGGACUGCACAGUGUAUCUGAGAGAGGAUUUUCAGGAGGCCAGAAAAUCAAGCUGGAGGGAUUUUCAGCGUGUUGGGAGAUUGCUACCUGUUUUAAGUCAGGCCAUUGCCACGUCUUUUUCCCCACCUUGGAGACUUCAG